rnacentral:tRNA from 2 species
GGGUUAAUCUGCUAAUUGGUAAGUAACUUUCUUGUCAAGAAAGCCGAUGUCGGUUCGAACCCGACUUAACCCG